CCUACGGGCGGCAGCAGUGGGGAAUAUUGCACAAUGGGGGAAACCCUGAUGCAGCGACGCCGCGUGGGUGACGAAGUAUUUCGGUAUGUAAAGCCCUAUCAGCAGGGAAGAAGAUGACAGUACCUGACUAAGAAGCCCCGGCUAACUACGUUCCAGCAGCCGCGGUAAUACGUAGGGGGCAAGCGUUAUCCGGAUUUACUGGGUGUAAAGGGAGCGUAGGUGGCAUGGCAAGCCAGAAGUGAAAACCCGGGGCCUAAACCCGCGGAUUGCUUUUGGAACUGUCAGGCUGGAGUGCAGGAGGGGCAGGCGGAAUUCCUGGUGUAGCGGUGAAAUGCGUAGAUAUCAGGAGGAACACCGGUGGCGAAGGCGGCCUGCUGGACUGUAAUUGACACUGAGGAUCGAAAGCGUGGGGAGCAAACAGGAUUAGAUACCCGAGUAGUC
rnacentral:rRNA from 1 species